rnacentral:lncRNA from 1 species
GGGAAAUUGGAGGAGAUCAAGGGACUGAAGAUACCAGAGCACCUGGCAAAGAGGUAUUUGAAAGGUCCUUCCUAAAAGGUUGUAAGGAAGCUCCGAUUUCUCCUCUAUAUGGGCUGAUAACUGUACAGAACGGUUACUCAUGGUUACCCAUCCUGAAGGUCUCUGUCUUCUAGAAAGAAAGAAGGAUAAAAGGAGGGAGAGAACAACAGAAGCAGGAGAGUUCAUCGAAGGGCAUGGGUGCUGCGAUGAGGAACAGAAAGAAAAAGAACCGAGAUCGGGCCAAGUUCGUUGUGGGUGAGUGUCUGAGGCCACAAGAGGCUUCUGGGUAAUUAAGCAUGUUCUCAUACGGAUUACCUCUUUUCCACAGGGAAGCCCCGCCCCCAACAGGAAAUUAGGGAAAUUAGACAGGAAACUCACCAGCUGGAAGUAGCUGAACAGACGACUCACGAGGAAGAUGGGGAACUGAUGGCGGGACAGAAUGAAGAGGUUGAAGAAGAGGAGGACGGUGAAGAAGAAUGGAUGUGUCCACCAUCCGAUGACAUCGCUGAGGUAGAGGGGAGCAGCCAACCACAGAGUGGGCGACCCUCGUCCCACGUCCUCACCUCACCCCGCAGCUCUGACUACAACUUCGACCACCGAUCGGCAUCAUCGUCGCGAGGUCAAAGUUCACACAGGCUGAGCUCAUUAACAGAGGCCACACCCCCUUGCCCCACUCCCGCCUCUCUACAACCGUCCACUCCGAGCUUAGCUGCGCUGACGAGUGAAAGGCGGACACCAAAGCCUGUCAAAUCGGAGACGAGCAGCGUGAGCUGUCACAUGACCAGCAGGAGGUCUGACCAGCAGCGUGCAGAGGUUAAUAAAUCUGAGGACGCCACCCGGCAGCGGGAGCUGCGGGCGGAGAAGGCGGAGCACCGGCGCCAGGAGGUGGAGCGGAGGAGGAGGGAGAAAGAGGAGGAGAGGCUGAGGCAGCAGGAGAAGGAGGAGCGGGAGGAGAGGGUGCAGGAGGAGCUGCAGGAGGAGAGGAAGCAGAGAGCCGAACA